ACAUUAUAUCCAAGUUAUCUUUUCAGAAUUUUCCAUUAAAAUGACAAAGAAUUAAAACGAAAAUAAAAAAUAAAUGAAAUCAGAAAGGGGAUUAGGGUUCUGAAAGUGUGACCUAAACGCGCAGCUUCUUCUUCGUGGCCGACAGCGUGACUCUCCGAUUACUCUCUCUCCGUUCGAUCUCAACUCGAUGCAAUUCCGAGCGGAUGGCUAGCUUAUGCGAUGGAGAUGAUGAACGUUGUUGUUGUAGGCGCAGAUUCACGGAUGAGUGUCAUGGAGAUUGUUGAACCGUGUUUGCGAUGAGAAUGAAGAUGUGGCGAAGAUUGAAGUGUUGGUGAUGCGUUUGAUUGAUGAGGUUCUGAGACGAUUGAUUGAGGCUACGAGAAUUCGAGGAACUCAAGGUGAAGGAAGAAUAGAAGCAGAGUGAAGAUGGUGAUGAAGACUUGCAGAAUCUGCGGAGAGCAAAGAAUUGUGAAUUGAAGAUGGUGAGAUAUUGAAGGUUCUGAAAAUGAAGAGAUGAGUGAAGUGAAGAAGCUUCUGAAGAGUGCAGAAUUGAAGGAUUAUAUAGAAGCUCAAGGUUUGGUUUGAUUGAUACGACAGGGUGAUGUGAAGCCGUGCGGUUGCAUAUGUAGGUUUGGAAUGGGAUGCUCAUGCUACAAGUGAAUAUAAAGUCUUAAAGAUGAAGAUAAAUUCAACUGAAUUCUUCAUGAUAGAUUAGAGUGAUGUACUGGAAUGGGAAUGAUGUAAUGGCUUUUGUAAUGAGUUUAAAAUUGUGGAAUGUGAUAUGAUAAACUCUUGAAGUUGAGAUGAACUCUUGUAUUUUUUGUAAUUUUCAAUAGAAUAUGUAAUGUAACUUUUGGUCCUUGUAAGGUAUGUGGAUCUUGAAUUGUAAUGUGAUUUCUGUAGUUAAAGAAUGGA